AAUAGAUGUAUCCUGGAUCAGCGUAGCUUAGGGUAUAGAAUGGAAAGAAAGAAUUAAAAUUGUAAUAAGUUGAUUGUAUUUGGAAGCAAAUGAAUGUAAAUGUAAAGUGAAUGCUUGUAAUAGCUUAGUAAUUGUGUUUGAUACCUUCCUUAUGCAAUCUAUGUAUGAAUUCUGUUCCUGUUUGGAAUCGCGUGAAUUAAUUGUAUUGAUUGUGACGCCUUGGGUGGACAGAAAAAACUCUGUCUGUUCGGCGGUCUGUCGGCGCGCCCGAAUCCGACCAAAGUGGCGGGUCU
rnacentral:lncRNA from 1 species